ensembl:snRNA U6 U6 spliceosomal RNA
GUGCUCGCUUCGGCAGCACAUAUAGUAAAAUUGGAACGAUACAAAGAAGAUUAGCAUGGCCCCUGCGCAAGGAUGACACGCAAAAAGGUGGGGGGGGAAUGACCUUA